rnacentral:rRNA from 1 species
CCUACGGGUGGCAGCAGUGGGGAAUAUUGGGCAAUGGGCGCAAGCCUGAACCAGCAACGCCGCGUGAAGGAAGAAGGCUUUCGGGUUGUAAACUUCUUUUUAGGGGGAAGAGCAGAAGACGGUACCCCUUGAAUAAGCCACGGCUAACUACGUGCCAGCAGCUGCGGCAAUACGUAGGUAGCAAGCGUUGUCCGGAUUUACUGGGUGUAAAGGGCGUGUAGCCGGAGAGACAAGUCAGUUGUGAAAUCCACGGGCUCAACCCGUGAACUGCAGUUGAAACUGGUUCCCUUGAGUGUCGGAGAGGUAUUCGGAAGUCGUGGUGUAGCGGUGAAAUGCGUAGAUAUAAGGAAGAACACCAGUUGCGAAGGCAGAAUACUGGACGAUAACUGACGGUGAUGCGCGAAAGCGUGGGGAGCAAACAGGAUUAGAUACCCCUGUAGUG